ACGAACGCUGGCGGCGUGCUUAACACAUGCAAGUCGAACGAUGAAGAAGAGAAACGCGAACUUCGGUUCAAAUUUCACUUCGGAUUAGUGGCAGACGGGUGAGUAACGCGUGAGCAACCUACCUCUUACAAAGGGAUAGCCUCGGGAAACCGUGAUUAAUACCAUAUGACACAUUCAUAAGGCAUCUUAAGAAUGUUAAAGCUACGGCGGUAAGAGAUGGGCUCGCGUCCCAUUAGCUAGUUGGUGAGGUAACGGCCCACCAAGGCGACGAUGGGUAACCGGCCUGAGAGGGUGAACGGUCACAUUGGAACUGAGACACGGUCCAAACUCCUACGGGAGGCAGCAGUGGGGAAUAUUGCACAAUGGAGGGAACUCUGAUGCAGCGACGCCGCGUGAGCGAUGAAGGAAUUAGUUUCGUAAAGCUCUGUUAUAUGGGAAGAAAAGGACUGUACCAUAGGAGAAAGCCCCGGCUAAAUACGUG
rnacentral:rRNA from 1 species